rnacentral:rRNA from 1 species
AUUGAACGCUGGCGGCAGGCCUAACACAUGCAAGUCGAACGAGUGGCGGACGGGUGAGUAAUGUCUGGGAAACUGCCUGAUGGAGGGGGAUAACUACUGGAAACGGUAGCUAAUACCGCAUACCAUCAGAUGUGCCCAGAUGGGAUUAGCUAGUUGGUGGGGUAACGGCUCACCAAGGCGCAGAUCCCUAGCUGGUCUGCGAGGAUGACCCUCCACCCUAGACCUGAGACACGGUCCAGACUCCUACGGGAGGCAGCCGUGGUGGAUAUUGCACAAUGGGCGCAAGCCUGAUGCAGCCAUGCCGCGUGUAUGAAGAAGGCCUUCGGGUUGUAAAGUACUUUCAGCGGGGAGGCGUUACCCGCAGAAGAAGCACCGGCUAACUCCGUGCCAGCAGCCGCGGUAAUUC